rnacentral:rRNA from 1 species
GAUGAACGCUGGCGGCGUGCCUAAUACAUGCAAGUCGAGCGAACAGAUGAGGAGCUUGCUCCUCUUACAUUAGCGGCGGACGGGUGAGUAACACGUGGAUAACCUACCUAUAAGACUGGGAUAACUUCGGGAAACCGGAGCUAAUACCGGAUAAUAUAUUGAACCGCAUGGUUCAAUAGUGAAAGACGGCUUUUCUGUCACUUAUAGAUGGAUCCGCGCCGCAUUAGCUAGUUGGUAAGGUAACGGCUUACCAAGGCAGCGAUGCGUAGCCGACCUGAGAGGGUGAUCGGCCACACUGGAACUGAGACACGGUCCAGACUCCUACGGGAGGCAGCAGUAGGGAAUCUUCCGCAAUGGGCGAAAGCUUGACGGAGCAACGCCGCGUGAGUGAUGAAGGUCUUCGGAUCGUAAAACUCUGUUAUUAGGGAAGAACAAAUGUGUAAGUAACUAUGCACGUCUUGACGGUACCUAAUCAGAAAGCCACGGCUAACUACGUG